GACGAACGCUGGCGGCGUGCUUAACACAUGCAAGUCGAACGGAAAGGCCCUGCUUUUGUGGGGUGCUCGAGUGGCGAACGGGUGAGUAACACGUGAGUAACCUGCCCUUGACUUUGGGAUAACUUCAGGAAACUGGGGCUAAUACCGGAUAGGAGCUCCUGCUGCAUGGUGGGGGUUGGAAAGUUUCGGCGGUUGGGGAUGGACUCGCGGCUUAUCAGCUUGUUGGUGGGGUAGUGGCUUACCAAGGCUUUGACGGGUAGCCGGCCUGAGAGGGUGACCGGCCACAUUGGGACUGAGAUACGGCCCAGACUCCAACGGGAGGCAGCAGGGGGGAAUAUUGCACAAUGGGCGGAAGCCUGAUGCAGCAACGCCGCGUGCGGGAUGACGGCCUUCGGGUUGUAAACCGCUUUCGCCUGUGACGAAGCGUGAGUGACGGUAAUGGGUAAAGAAGCACCGGCUAACUACGUG
rnacentral:rRNA from 1 species